CUGCCCUAGGGAAGUGUGCUUGAUAUAAUGCUGUUCUGUAGUGCAGGAAGAGAUAGCUUAAUUCACAGACCUUCAACAGCUCACAGAGAGAAUAUUCUAGAAAUCAAGCCACAUGUACAAAUAAAUGAAGAGGUCUCAGCUGCUACACACUGGCUAUCUCCAAACACUGAGGCACAGUUCCAGGGUUCAAUUCAAGGCUCAGGAGGAGAAGCCUCUUUGUUCUUGGUCAGAGCUGUCAGGGACCUGACACUAGACCUCUUAAUUCCCUGGGAGAUUGAGCCAGGCCUCAUGGAAGCGUCCACAGUCCUCUUAUUCUUGACUCAACCUCUCAGGCUGCUUUCCUGGCAUCCAGUUUACUUUCAUGGUAACUAUACACUCAACUCUUGUCAUCCUUCAAUGCAGAGUCUUAAGAUGCACUGGAAGUCUUGGGAGCUGUGAAAAUCCAGGGGAAAGGCAGCAGGCAGUUCCCUUGGAUAUAGGGGUGUAGAGCAUUACAGUCAUGCAUCUCAUGAUGAAAUUUCAGUCAACUACUGGCUGCAUAUAAGAUGCUGGUCCCAUAAGAUUAUAACCUUAACCUCAGUGUGGAUGAGAAUGACAUUGAGGAACUCCUAGACAUGGUUCCUGAGGAAGUGAGUAAUGCUGAGUUAAUGUAA
rnacentral:lncRNA from 1 species